rnacentral:lncRNA from 12 species
AAUUUGCUGUGGUGGGCAGAAGAAAGACAAAUGCACUGCAGGCUGGCAGACAUUCCUCAUCGGCACAUAUCCAAAUUACUUCCUAUGUUACAAUAAUGGUGUCAACACUUUUAUUUCUUUGUCCAUAAGCUGAAAAUUAUGGCUGUUUCAUAAAUCGGUAACGUGCUCGGAAGAUGGGGGCCCAGCUGCAGAGCACAUGAGUUCAGGCUCCUGCCCCAGCCUCAUGUUUCACGAUGACCUCAGCUUCCUGUGUCAAUGGGAACCCAUGCGAGCUUUAUGGCACCUUUGAAGAAACAAAAGCUUUACAGAGAAAAGGCUGGUUUGGCAGAGGAGCCUGGCUUCCCCCCUUCAGCCCACUUUCCUGUGUUCCUGGAGCUUUUCUCUCUUUCAGCAAACAAAGCACUUCUAGGUGCUGUACGGAGGCUGCAUCUCCACUCGUCUCUCCUCUCUCCUUGCUUCUCUCCCCCAUCUCUUGGAUACUUCUGGAAAAACGAACAUUUUAUGAAUGCCAUGUGUGCUGCUGGGUGCUUGGUCUCCCCCUUUUUCUCUGUCCCCCUCUUUCUCCCUGUCUCUCUCUCCCCCCCUCUCUAUCUCCUUCUCCAUCUCUCCCCCUCUCUCCCCACCUCUCUCUUCCCCCCUCCCUGUUUCUCCCUGAUGUAAUGUCUCUGAGUUUGUCUGGCUCCAGCUGUCCUCCUGUGAAACGGAAAGGAAGCAAGGGGGGCGGUCAGUUUGAGAAGACGAUCUUGACGUUAUUCAUAAGACCCCAUUUCGUUCCAGCAGCUUUGUCGAACCCACGAUAGGAUAGCGGGUCUUCAAUGGAUUCUCUCGCUUGGAGGAUCAAAUUUACAGUUUUCUCCUGGCUGUUCUUCAUGGGGAGACAUUUGAAAUCUGCAGGCAGACAGAGCCAACUGGGCAGAAAGUUUGGAAUUCUGAAAUGCUGCUGAAUUAAGUCAGGGAUCGGCUUAGCUAAUUUGCUGAUUUACUCAACUUGACCCAAAUGAAUUUCUGUGUAAACGAAAUUUAUGAAGAAGUCUCUGAAUAAUUCUAUUAAAUGAAAUGCCAGGCUUUUAUUUUCCAUUUUAUGACAUUUUCUGAACACUGUGUAUUCCAAUCAUAUUGAAACAUUUUGUUUUCAGGCUCUGUAGAAAGUGCUGAUGGUUGAACCUCAAAAGAAUUGAAGGGUUAGUUCAUAAAUGAAUAAAAAGCCAGCGGCAUUUAUCCA